rnacentral:rRNA from 1 species
ACGCUCGACACCUACGGGAGGUAGCAGUGGGGAAUAUUGCACAAUGGGGGAAACCCUGAUGCAGCGACGCCGCGUGAAGGAAGAAGUAUUUCGGUAUGUAAACUUCUAUCAGCAGGGAAGAAAAUGACGGUACCUGAGUAAGAAGCACCGGCUAAAUACGUGCCAGUAGCCGCGGUAAUCUGAGCGGGCUGGCAAGGC